rnacentral:rRNA from 1 species
GACGAACGCUGGCGGCACGCUUAACACAUGCAAGUCGAACGAGAGAAGAGAAGCUUGCUUUUCUGAUCUAGUGGCGGACGGGUGAGUAACACGUGAGCAAUCUGCCUUUCAGAGGGGGAUACCGAUUGGAAGCGAUCGUUAAUACCGCAUAACAUAAUUGAACCGCAUGAUUUGAUUAUCAAAGAUUUAUCGCUGAAAGAUGAGCUCGCGUCUGAUUAGCUAGUUGGUAAGGUAACGGCUUACCAAGGCGACGAUCAGUAGCCGGACUGAGAGGUUGAUCGGCCACAUUGGGACUGAGACACGGCCCAGACUCCUACGGGAGGCAGCAGUGGGGAAUAUUGCACAAUGGAGGAAACUCUGAUGCAGCGAUGCCGCGUGAGGGAAGAAGGUUUUAGGAUUGUAAACCUCUGUCUUCAGGGACGAAAAAAGACGGUACCUGAGGAGGAAGCUCCGGCUAACUACGUG